AUUGAACGCUGGCGGCAUGCUUUACACAUGCAAGUCGAGCGGCAGCGCGGGGGCAACUCUGGCGGCGAGCGGCGAACGGGUGAGUAAGGCAUCGGAACGUGUCCCGGAGUGGGGGAUAACCCGGCGAAAGCCGGACUAAUACCGCAUAUGCUCUGAGGAGGAAAGUGGGGGAUCGCAAGACCUCAUGCUUUGGGAGCGGCCGAUGUCCGAUUAGCUAGUUGGUGGGGUAAUGGCUUACCAAGGCGACGAUCGGUAGCUGGUCUGAGAGGAUGAGCGGCCACACGGGGACUGAGACACGGCCCAGACUCCUACGGGAGGCAGCAGUGGGGAAUUUUGGACAAUGGGGGCAACCCUGAUCCAGCCAUGCCGCGUGCGGGAAGAAGGCCUUCGGGUUGUAAACCGCUUUUAGCUGGGAAGAAAAGGCCUGUCCUAAUACGGCAGGUUCUUGACGGUACCGGCGGAAUAAGCACCGGCUAACUACGUGCCAGCAGCCGCAGUAACAC
rnacentral:rRNA from 1 species